rnacentral:rRNA from 1 species
GAGCGCACGCGGAAGAAUAAGUCUGAUGUGAAAGCCCUCGGCUUAACCGAGGAACUGCAUCGGAAACUGUUUUUCUUGAGUGCAGAAGAGGAGAGUGGAACUCCAUGUGUAGCGGUGGAAUGCGUAGAUAUAUGGAAGAACACCAGUGGCGAAGGCGGCUCUCUGGUCUGCAACUGACGCUGAGGCUCGAAAGCAUGGGUAGCGAACAGGAUUAGAUACCCUGGUAGUCCAUGCCGUAAACGAUGAGUGCUAAGUGUUGGGAGGUUUCCGCCUCUCAGUGCUGCAGCUAACGCAUUAAGCACUCCGCCUGGGGAGUACGACCGCAAGGUUGAAACUCAAAGGAAUUGACGGGGGCCCGCACAAGCGGUGGAGCAUGUGGUUUAAUUCGAAGCAACGCGAAGAACCUUACCAGGUCUUGACAUCUAGUGCAAUCCGUAGAGAUUCGGAGUUCCCUUCGGGGACACAAAGACAGGUGGUGCAUGGCUGUCGUCA